UACGUAGGGUGCGAGCGUUAAUCGGAAUUACUGGGCGUAAAGCGUGCGCAGGCGGUUUUGUAAGCCAGAUGUGAAAUCCCCGGGCUCAACCUGGGAACUGCGUUUGUGACUGUGUGACUGGAGUACGGCAGAGGGGGGUGGAAUUCCUGGUGUAGCAGUGGAAUGCGUAGAUAUCAGGAGGAACAUCGAUGGCGAAGGCAGCCCCCUGGGCCUGUACUGACGCUCAUGCACGAAAGCGUGGGGAGCAAACAGG
rnacentral:rRNA from 1 species